rnacentral:rRNA from 1 species
GCUGGAUUAUUUAUUCACCCUUGUCUUUUGCGCACUUGUUGUUUCCUGGGCGGGUUCGCCCGCCGCCAGGACCACACCAUAAACCUUUUUUUAUGCAGUUGCAAUCAGCGUCAGUACAACAAAUGUAAAUCAUUUACAACUUUCAACAACGGAUCUCUUGGUUCUGGCAUCGAUGAAGAACGCAGCGAAAUGCGAUACGUAGUGUGAAUUGCAGAAUUCAGUGAAUCAUCGAAUCUUUGAACGCACAUUGCGCCCUUUGGUAUUCCAAAGGGCAUGCCUGUUCGAGCGUCAUUUGUACCCUCAAGCUUUGCUUGGUGUUGGGCGUCUUGUCUUUUGGCUCUUUGCCCAAAGACUCGCCUUAAAACGAUUGGCAGCCGGCCUACUGGUUUCGCAGCGCAGCACAUUUUUGCGCUUGCAAUCAGCAAAAGAGGACGGCACUCCAUCAAGACUCCUUCUCACGUUUGACCUCGGAUCAGGUAGGGAUACCCGCUGAACUUAAGCAUAUCAAUAAGCCGGGAGGAAAUCUUUCCCCCCCUAAAAAUUUUAGGGGCUCUUUCG